GACGAACGCUGGCGGCGCGCUUAACACAUGCAAGUCGAACGGAAAGGCCUGCUUUCCCUUGUGGAUUGCGGGUACUCGAGUGGCGAACGGGUGAGUAACACGUGAGUGAUCUGCCCCCAACUUGGGUAUAAGCCUGGGAAACUGGGUCUAAUUCCCGAUAGGACUGCAGGGUGGUGCCUGUGGUGGAAAACGAUUUUCUAGUGGUUGGGGAUGAGCUCGCGGCCUAUCAGCUUGUUGGUGGGGUAAUGGCCUACCAAGGCGGCGACGGGUAGCCGGCCUGGGAGGGUGGACGGCCACAUUGGGACUGGGACACGGCCCAGACUCCUACGAGAGGCAGCAGUGGGGAAUAUUGCACAAUGGGCGGAAGCCUGAUGCAGCGACGCCGCGUGGGGGAUGACGGCCUUCGGGUUGUAAACUCCUUUCGACCGCGAGGAAGCCACCUGGUUGGAAGGGUGGUGACGGUAGUGGUAGAAGAAGCACCGGCUAACUACGUG
rnacentral:rRNA from 1 species